rnacentral:rRNA from 1 species
UACGUAGGGUGCAAGCGUUGUCCGGAAUUAUUGGGCGUAAAGAGCUCGUAGGCGGUUUGUCGCGUCUGCUGUGAAAACUCGGGGCUUAACUCCGGGCCUGCAGUGGGUACGGGCAGACUAGAGUGCGGUAGGGGAGACUGGAAUUCCUGGUGUAGCGGUGAAAUGCGCAGAUAUCAGGAGGAACACCGGUGGCGAAGGCGGGUCUCUGGGCAGUAACUGACGCUGAGGAGCGAAAGCGUGGGGAGCGAACAGG